UACGUAGGGGGCAAGCGUUGUCCGGAUUUAUUGGGCGUAAAGAGCGUGUAGGCGGCCAUGCAGGUCCGUUGUGAAAACUCGAGGCUCAACCUCGAGACGCCGAUGGAAACCGCAUGGCUAGAGUCCGGAAGAGGAGAGUGGAAUUCCUGGUGUAGCGGUGAAAUGCGCAGAUAUCAGGAGGAACACCUGUGGUGUAGACAGCUUACUGGACCACUUCUGACGCUGAGACACGAAAGCGUGGGUAGCAAACAGG
rnacentral:rRNA from 1 species